AGCCUGAACGCUGGCGGCGUGGCUAAGACAUGCAAGUCGUACGGUGUAGCAAUACACAGUGGCGAACGGGUGAGUAAUGAAUCGCUAAUGUGCCCCGGACUCUGGGAUAGCUGACCGAAAGGGCAGGUAAUACCAGAUGACAUAACCUUUCCGCAUGGUGAGGUUCUCAAAGGUCCGCCGGUCUGGGAGCAGGCGAUUUUGUAUCAGCUAGUUGGUGAGGUAAUGGCUCACCAAGGCGACGACGCAUAGCCGGACUGAGAGGUUGGCCGGCCACAUUGGGGACUGAGACACUGCCCAGACUCCUACGGGGGGCUGCAGUAACGAAUCUUCCGCAAUGCACGAAAGUGUGACGGAGCGACGCCACGUGUGGGACGAAGCCCUUCGGGGUGUAAACCACUGUCGAGGGGUAAGAAAGUUCUGAUCUACCCAGAGGAAGGCACGGCUAACUCUGCGCCAGCAGCCGCGUAA
rnacentral:rRNA from 1 species